AUUGAACGCUGGCGGCAGGCCUAACACAUGCAAGUCGAGCGGAGCGGCGGACGGGUGAGUAAUGCCUAGGAAUCUGCCUGGUAGUGGGGGAUAACGUCCGGAACCGGGCGCUAAUACCGCAUACUAUCGGAUGUGCCCAGAUCGGAUUAGCUAGUAGGUGGGGUAACGGCUCACCUAGGCGACGAUCCCUAGCUGGUCUGAGAGGAUGACCAGCCACACUGGAACUGAGACACGGUCCAGACUCCUACGGGAGGCAGCAGUGGGGAAUAUUGGACAAUGGGCGAAAGCCUGAUGCAGCCAUGCCGCGUGUAUGAAGAAGGCCUUCGGGUUGUAAAGUACUUUCAGCGAGGAGGCGUUACCCGCAGAAGAAGCACCGGCUAACUCCGUGCCAGCAGCCGCGGUAAUAC
rnacentral:rRNA from 1 species